AGUGAACGCUGGCGGUAGGCCUAACACAUGCAAGUCGAACGGCAGCACAGUAAGAGCUUGCUCUUACGGGUGGCGAGUGGCGGACGGGCGAGCAAUACAUCGGAAUCUACUUUUUCGUGGGGGAUAACGUAGGGAAACUUACGCUAAUACCGCAUACGACCUACGGGUGAAAGCAGGGGAUCUUCGGACCUUGCGCGAUUGAAUGAGCCGAUGUCGGAUUAGCUAGUUGGCGGGGUAAAGGCCCACCAAGGCGACGAUCCGUAGCUGGUCUGAGAGGAUGAUCAGCCACACUGGAACUGAGACACGGUCCAGACUCCUACGGGAGGCAGCAGUGGGGAAUAUUGGACAAUGGGCGCAAGCCUGAUCCAGCCAUACCGCGUGGGUGAAGAAGGCCUUCGGGUUGUAAAGCCCUUUUGUUGGGAAAGAAAAGCAGCAGGUUAAUACCCCGCUGUUCUGACGGUACCCAAAGAAUAAGCACCGGCUAACUUCGU
rnacentral:rRNA from 1 species